rnacentral:rRNA from 1 species
AUAUUACUAAGCGGAGGAAAAGAAAUCAACGAAGAUUGCCUCAGUAGCGGCGAGUGAAGCGGCAACAGCUCAAGUUUAGAAUCUGUGUUUGUAAAAACACCGAAUUGUAAUCUAAAGGGGCUAACAAAAGGGGAGGCUGAAGCAUAAGUUCCUUGGAAAAGGACGUCACAGAGGGUGAAAACCCCGUAUGUAGCUUCCGCUGAACCGAAUGUUGACCUUCUGAGAGUCGGGUUGUUUGGGAUUGCAGCCCUAAAUGGGAGAUAAACUUCUUCUAAGGCUAAAUAUCUAUGGGAGACCGAUAGCGCACAAGUA